UGGGAAGGAAGGGGCUCGCUCCUCCGGGAAGGGGGGUCCCACCUGUUAUGCCGUUGGGGGUCAUCGAGGGGCCGUGCUGAAGGGAAUCCCAAAGCCGCGGACUCUUGGCCCCGCUGCGAUCAGGCCAGGAGGGGUGGGGACGGGGGGGGGGGGGAGUCCUUUUUGUUUCUAGAAACGGGAACUGGAGAUGCGGUUCCCUUUCGCCCCCACCACCCCCCAACCACGAGAAGAGAAAGAUGGUGGGUUUCAUCCUCCGGGAUCAGAAGCCCUAUUAGGAGCCAGCCCGAGAGUUGUGCGGCAAAAGGCGGCUAGAAGGGGGGUGCGGGUCGCCGGCAGAUCUCCAGCUCGGGCAGUGGAACCCGGUACCAGGACGGUGAUCUCGCGGCAGAGACAGCAGCCUCCAGUAGCUCCGGCCUUCUGGGCCGACCGCUCGUACCACCGUGGCAUGGGUCGCCCGGGACGCGCUACCCUGCAGGGGGCGGAAGUUGGGAAGAGGAGUUCCCGUUCCUAAGGCGCUGGCAUCGCUCCUCCUGCUGCUUCCCUGUUCUGACCCAUUCCCGGCGACGGAGGAUGAAGGUGGCGAAAGAUGUUUGGACAGCCGUCGCUCUCCUCCAUGCUUUUCUCCUGCUGCUGGUUAGCUUGGAUGGUGAUGGUGUCACCUGGGGUCCUGGAAUCUCUGGGCCCGCAUCCUCAUUACCCGAGAAUUCGUUAGAACGACACAUUCACGACCACACCUAAACCUACAGAAUCAGAAACGCCACUAGUGGGGUCGGUCCUGAAACCUGGUUAACAAGCUCCCAAGGUGAAUCUGAUGGCCGCUUUCCCUAAGCAGUAGAGACCCUUUUUCGUGUAUGGUGCUGAAAAUUUAGCGUCCUCUGUCCCCAAAUACAGUGAAAAAUCGGAUUUAAAAUGUGUCUGCUCCUGUGUGAGCUCUUAAAGGUCUUGUCCUCUCCUGCACCUCCGGCCUCUUCACCUUAGGACACUAUGCUAUCGCACUUCUCAGGGAGAUAAGAAAGGGUGGCCUGACGCAUACUGCUUUUAAAUGACAACCCACUAACCUGCUCUAUUUGAGUGUCAACCAAGAGCAAGGGAGUGGCUGAGAUUAUAGUAGCCCCGCUGGUUAUUUUCAUCAGUUUGCACCUAAGAGGGAAAAAAAGGAGGCUUGCUGUCUUGAAGUAAGUACUGGACAGCCGCUGGCUCUUUGCAGUGUUACUUUGCAUUUGCUGUAACCAAGGUCAAAGCAAGCGAGCUGCUGCCUGGCAGGUCAUGGAAUCCAGACUUUAAAAUUCUCCCUCCCCACCCCACACACACUUGUUACAAGUGUGUCCCAGGCAUUAGAGUUAGUUUAGUUUUUCUUCCCCUCCCCCCUCCCUGUAUCUUUGAAAUGUUUUUUAGGAAAAAGAAAACAUUUUUCUAUGAAAGUUUUAGGAGUAUUCCUAAUACAUGAAAAGGGCAGAGUAUACAAGUAUUUUAUACUCCAAAUUUCACUCCAAUUUCAGAAAGUGGUUCUUAGAAAAGGCACACAUAAAAUAUACAUAACAGAGCUUUAAGUAAAUAUAGGGAUGGUAAUCUAGAGAGAAAUCCUCGCCUUGAAAGUAACUUGAAUGGCGUGGUCAUAAGAGAUGCUUCAGAGUUGGCAUACUUUUAAGUCAGUCACUGUACAAAAAAUAAUAAUAAUCAAGAUGAAAUGUUCCUUUUCUAGUCCACUAAACCAUGAAGAACCUUAACAGGAGGCUGGAGAGGUAGCUCAGCAGUUACGAGUACUUGCUGGUCUUGAAGAGAACCCUAGUUCAAUUCCCAGCACCCCACUUUGCCAUUGACAACCAUCUGAAACUCUACUUCUUUGGAAUCUGAUGCCUUCUCUGGCUGCAGAGAACACCAGGCAUGCAAGAGUUACACUAUAUAUGCAGGCAGGCAUAGCAUCAUAUAUGAAGUAAUAAAUGACUUUAAGAAACAAUUCUGCUGCACUUGAAUUUGUUGACUGCGUGUGAAGGAAGAGGCACCCUAAGCAUCAAAUCCGGAAACUAUAACAGCGCCUCCCGGAAGGAUGUGUGCUGAUUUCUUCUGCCGCUGGGUAAUGCAGCUCUGGAGCGAUGGGGAUGGACUCACGGAGACACCCUAGCCUUUCACGGGAUCUGGAACCAGCAAAAGGGAGAGAAGGGAUUUCUAUCUCCUU
rnacentral:lncRNA from 1 species